rnacentral:misc_RNA from 1 species
GUGAAUCAUCAAAUCUUUGAACGCAAAUUGCACUCUCUGGUAUUCCGGAAAGUAUGCCUGUUUGAGGGUCAGUUAAAUAAAAAUUGGUGUUGUUGCCGGCUUUUGUGGUGACGCGUCGGAAUUGGGUUGUUUUUCCUUUGGGUUAGUGACUUAAAAUUUUUGCAUGAUUUUUGACGGUAUUUAUAACGUUUACGUACGUUCGAGUUCUCGAUCGCUUAUUAGGUUUGGUCAUUCUCAUGAUUCGCGCCUAUAAUUUUUCAUUAAAUGAACUUCAAUUAGGUUAGGAUAACCGCCGAA